rnacentral:rRNA from 1 species
GAGUUUUGAUCCUGGCUCAGGAUGAACGCUAGCUACAGGCUUAACACAUGCAAGUCGAGGGGAAACGACAUCGAAAGCUUGUCUUUUGAUGGGCGUCGACCGACGUACGGGUGAGUAACGCGUAUCCAACCUGCCCACCACUUGGGGAUAACCUUGCGAAAGUAAGACUAAUACCCAAUGAUAUCUCUAGAAGACAUCUGAAAGAGAUUAAAGAUUUAUCGGUGAUGGAUGGGGAUGCGUCUGAUUAGCUUGUUGGCGGGGUAACGGCCCACCAAGGCAACGAUCAGUAGGGGUUCUGAGAGGAAGGUCCCCCACAUUGGAACUGAGACACGGUCCAAACUCCUACAGGAGGCAGCA